AGUGAACGCUGGCGGUAGGCCUAACACAUGCAAGUCGAACGGUAGCACAGUAAGAGCUUGCUCUUACGGGUGGCGAGUGGCGGACGGGUGAGGAAUACAUCGGAAUCUACUUUUUCGUGGGGGAUAACGUAGGGAAACUUACGCUAAUACCGCAUACGACCUACGGGUGAAAGCAGGGGAUCUUCGGACCUUGCGCGAUUGAAUGAGCCGAUGUCGGAUUAGCUAGUUGGCGGGGUAAAGGCCCACCAAGGCGACGAUCCGUAGCUGGUCUGAGAGGAUGAUCAGCCACACUGGAACUGAGACACGGUCCAGACUCCUACGGGAGGCAGCAGUGGGGAAUAUUGGACAAUGGGCGCAAGCCUGCUCCAGCCAUACCGCGUGGGUGAAGAAGGCCUUCGGGUUGUAAAGCCCUUUUGUUGGGAAAGAAAAGCAGCAGGUUAAUACCCCGCUGUUCUGACGGUACCCAAAGAAUAAGCACCGGCUAACUUCGUG
rnacentral:rRNA from 1 species